UACGUAGGGGGCGAGCGUUGGCCGGAAUUAUUGGGCGUAAAGAGCUCGUAGGCGGUCUGUCGCGGCGGCUGUGAAAACUCGGGGCUCAACCCCGAGCCUGCAGUCGAUACGGGCAGACUAGAGUGCUGUAGGGGAGACUGGAAUUCCUGGUGUAGCGGUGAAAUGCGCAGAUAUCAGGAGGAACACCGGUGGCGAAGGCGGGUCUCUGGGCAGUAACUGACGCUGAGGAGCGAAAGCGUGGGGAGCGAACAGG
rnacentral:rRNA from 1 species